rnacentral:rRNA from 1 species
GACGAACGCUGGCGGCGUGCCUAAUACAUGCAAGUAGAACGCUGAAGAGAGGAGCUUGCUCUUCUUGGAUGAGUUGCGAACGGGUGAGUAACGCGUAGGUAACCUGCCUUGUAGCGGGGGAUAACUAUUGGAAACGAUAGCUAAUACCGCAUAACAAUGGAUGACCCAUGUCAUUUAUUUGAAAGGGGCAAAUGCUCCACUACAAGAUGGACCUGCGUUGUAUUAGCUAGUAGGUGAGGUAACGGCUCACCUAGGCGACGAUACAUAGCCGACCUGAGAGGGUGAUCGGCCACACUGGGACUGAGACACGGCCCAGACUCCUACGGGAGGCAGCAGUAGGGAAUCUUCGGCAAUGGGGGCAACCCUGAUCGAGCAACGCCGCGUGAGUGAAGAAGGUUUUCGGAUCGUAAAGCUCUGUUGUAAGUCAAGAACGAGUGUGAGAGUGGAAAGUUCACACUGUGACGGUAGCUUACCAGAAAGGGACGGCUAACUACGUGCCAGCAGCCGCGGUAAUACGUAGGUCCCGAGCGUUGUCCGGAUUUAUUGGGCGUAAAGCGAGCGCAGGCGGUUUGAUAAGUCUGAAGUUAAAGGCUGUGGCUCAACCAUAGUUCGCUUUGGAAACUGUCAAACUUGAGUGCAGAAGGGGAGAGUGGAAUUCCAUGUGUAGCGGUGAAAUGCGUAGAUAUAUGGAGGAACACCGGUGGCGGAAGCGGCUCUCUGGUCUGUAACUGACGCUGGGGCUCGAAAGCGUGGGGAGCGAACAGGAUUAGAUACCCUGGUAGUCCACGCCGUAAACGAUGAGUGCUAGGUGUUGGAUCCUUUCCGGGAUUCAGUGCCGCAGCUAACGCAUUAAGCACUCCGCCUGGGGAGUACGACCGCAAGGUUGAAACUCAAAGGAAUUGACGGGGGCCCGCACAAGCGGUGGAGCAUGUGGUUUAAUUCGAAGCAACGCGAAGAACCUUACCAGGUCUUGACAUCCCGAUGCUAUUUCUAGAGAUAGAAAGUUACUUCGGUACAUCGGUGACAGGUGGUGCAUGGUUGUCGUCAGCUCGUGUCGUGAGAUGUUGGGUUAAGUCAAACAACGAGCGCAACCCCUAUUGUUAGUUGCCAUCAUUCAGUUGGGCACUCUAGCGAGACUGCCGGUAAUAAACCGGAGGAAGGUGGGGAUGACGUCAAAUCAUCAUGCCCCUUAUGACCUGGGCUACACACGUGCUACAAUGGUUGGUACAACGAGUUGCGAGUCGGUGACGGCAAGCUAAUCUCUUAAAGCCAAUCUCAGUUCGGAUUGUAGGCUGCAACUCGCCUACAUGAAGUCGGAAUCGCUAGUAAUCGCGGAUCAGCACGCCGCGGUGAAUACGUUCCCGGGCCUUGUACACACCGCCCGUCACACCACGAGAGUUUGUAACACCCGAAGUCGGUGAGGUAACCUUUUGGAGCCAGCCGCCUAAGGUGGGAUAGAUGAUUGGGGUG